rnacentral:rRNA from 1 species
AGUUUUGAACGGGUUGUCUGCUGGCUCGCAAGGGCAUGUGCACGCCUGUCUCAUCCACUCUCAACUUCUGUGCACUUUUCAUAGGCCGGCUUGGGGGUGCGUUCGCGCACUUGUAGGUGUCGGGCUUAUGCUUUAUUACAAACGAUUCAGUUUUAGAAUGUCAUACUUUGCUAUAACGCAAUUUAUAUACAACUUUCAGCAACGGAUCUCUUGGCUCUCGCAUCGAUGAAGAACGCAGCGAAAUGCGAUAAGUAAUGUGAAUUGCAGAAUUCAGUGAAUCAUCGAAUCUUUGAACGCACCUUGCGCUCCUUGGUAUUCCGAGGAGCAUGCCUGUUUGAGUCUCAUGGAAUUCUCAACCUUCGGCUUCAUUGACGAAGGCUUGGACUUGGAGGUCGUGCCGGCUCUCGUAGUCGGCUCCUCUGAAAUGCAUUAGUGCGAACGUUACCAGCCGCUUCAGCGUGAUAAUUAUCUGCGUUGCUGUGGAAGGUAUCCUAGUGUCCGCGCUUCCAACCGUCUUCGGACAAAUUUCUGAACUCUGAGCUCAAAUCAGGUAGGACUACCCGCUGAACUUAAGCAUAUCAAUAAGCGGAGGAAAAGAAACUAACAAGGAUUCCCCUAGUAACUGCGAGUGAAGCGGGAAAAGCUCAAAUUUAAAAUCUGGCGGUCUUCGGCCGUCCGAGUUGUAAUCUGGAGAAGCGUUUUCCGCGCCGGACCGUGUACAAGUCUCUUGGAACAGAGCGUCAUAGAGGGUGAGAAUCCCGUCUUUGACACGGACUACCGGUGCUAUGUGAUGCGCUCUCGAUGAGUCGAGUUGUUUGGGAAUGCAGCUCAAAA